UACCUGGUGCUGCAAGUUCUAGAGACUUUGGGGACCCUGAACUCAGGCUGGUUCUCACCUUUUCGCACAACAGAAGGGAGAAAAAUCAGACAAAUGUGUUCAACCUGCCAUAUCAUCUAGGAGGCUCUAUUGUGGUUUUUCUACUCUAUUAUUUCAAUAGGAGAGCUGAAAGCUACUGCCAUCUACAGCCAUGAAAGCAGAUUACACUACCAUCCUAAUGCCCGGGCCAUCUCAGUGUGAAGCUCCUGAAUAGACUUACCUUCAAACAGAAAAGCAAAACAAAACAAGCAAACAACAAUCCAAAACAGAAAAAUCAAGAGAAGAAGGAACAUCUGCAAUGAUUUCAAAUACGUACUCUCAGCUUUCUCUCUGAAGCAGCGCCCUCCUCCAGAAACUCAAGGAGGGACUCGCUUAUCAGUUGAUGGGGAAAGAUACUCAAAGAGAAAUCCACACAGACACUGUUAGCCAGUGGCCAGCACCAAGCACACAAAAUGAUAAGAAUGUCAAUGUUUAAAAGAGCUGGAACUUUUUGAAACAGAGGAGCACAUGGACUUUGUCAAUCUGAUGUUUUAACGAGGAGAUAGAUGCCACCAUUUCGCUUUGCCAACUUUUUCCCUUGGGGAGAGUAGGGUGUUUGUUCCUGAGAGUACUAAUUAUAUCUGAAGUUGCAGUCCAGAAAAAAUUGCCCUCUAGACUACUGUUGCUAUCAGUAACUGGGCUCAGAAUUGGGUAUUUUUGUAAAAUAAAAGUGCUAGAAGUAUUUUCAUGUCACAUAAAAAUGCUAAUAAUUUGAGCUAAGUUUCCAAAUUUUAAAAAAAUGUCAUUCUGGCGAUUUCUCUUCACAAGUAUGAGAAUGGCAUGGAAAUGUUUGAGGUAUAAUUUCUCUCUUCUACAACAAUAGGAUUUUCUCUAACACAAUGAGAAGUCAUUACCAAUAAAAGUUGAUUUGUAUUUUACCUUUUAAACCUAAUAUAUAGUAUGACUCAGUCCCAGAAAACAGGUUGUGAAGUAGAUAAAUCUGCUUACAGUAACUUUGCAAAUGUUCCUUUGACUAUGGAUUUAUUAUUUCAACCGUCUCUGGUGAGGACAUUUCACAUGUUUAUAAAUCUUUUCAGUCUCUCUUUGUGUUUUAGUGCUUCAUGUUAAUGGACUCUGUAACUGUUACAUACAACACAUCUCUAUCAGCAAAGGUUUAGGAACAAACAUUUAUACCAAGACUGUUUAAAAGUUGGCAGCCUUGGUGAAUAGUAAAUAACACUGAAUAGGACAGGACAUAAAUACACAGAUCAAUUUAAUAACAGAUUGUCUCCAAAAGAAUUAAAAACAGGGUUGCCUGAACUGUCCAGGAAGACACAUCCAGCACUUAGAUCCAUGCAGCAUGAAGUAGGAACCAGCAGCUUCAUAGCACUGGAUUUCAGUUCCCUUGCAUAAAUGAAUUUACCUUAAUUUUUGGAAUAAAAUCAAUGUU